UGAGUUGGCAAAGAAGAGUGAGGGCAGUGGGGUUUGGCAGCUUCUGAUGCAGGUGAGGGAGGAUUAGUGGUGAAUAUAUACCUGGAAAUGUAUAUCAAGACCAGCCAGUUGUAGUGGACAGGGGUUAAAUGUUAGGCUGGGAAGUUUGGACUUCAUUCUGUAGUGAUUGGAGAACCAAUGCAGGUUUUUGACCACAGAGAUGAUAAGGUCAUGGCUUUGCUUUAAGAUGAUCAAUCUGGAUGGGUUUUCAGAAGGAAGGAGACAUUGGGUGCAAAAAGAUUGGAAUUUAGAAAGAACACUGUUGCCUGAGUCCAGACAGAGAGAUACUGAGGGCCUGAUCCAGGGCAGUGGCAAUGAAGGUGAGAAU